AGGCUGCAGGCGUUCUCCUCUCCCCCUACUCCUCUUACAAAGGACUUGGUGGGUGGGUGGGGAAUAAGUGAGAGGACAUCUCAAUGCCAUGAAAACUGCCUUCCCCUGGAAGACGAACAGCCUUCUCCCCAUGUCCUGAGUUGAAGCAGAAGCCCCUCCCAGGUGGAAUCCAUUUGACCUCCAUAAAUCCAGACUUCAGGAGGAACCUUUGAAGGAUUGAUCACCAGAUGUGAUAAGCUGCUGGCUGCUCAGACGCAAGCGUGUGGUUCCUCAGAGCCAACUUCAAAGGGCCCAAGCCACCCAGCAUUGGGAGAUGAAAUGUCACAUUGGAGGAUAUAUUUUACCCUCCCACCCUUGGAAACUGGUCCUGGAUAGAAAACUGCUCUUCUAGGUCCUCAGAGCAGCUGGCAGAAGAUUCAGCAGUUAUGGCUGCCAGAGGCAACUGCAGGAAUCCUUUGACUGGCAGUUAUAGUAGGGAUAAAAUAGCAGGAGAGGUGUUAAUCUCCAGCACAUUUCAUAAGUUGGAAACCUGGCAGGGAGCCGAACAAACUGACUCCUUAGAACUAGCUGAGGCACAGGUCUUCAAGGCGUCUGUGACAGGCUGGAGAACAAUAGCCUUCAAAACCGGCAGCCCCAAGUGAAUGUUCAGGCAAGGUGUGGUAAGUGAAUGAAUCACCCCAGCCUCUUGUCGGAAGAAAACUCUCGCCAAAUAAUUCAAAACCCAAGGAACUGUGUUUGUGUGAAGCCCUCUAUUGGCUGGGAGGACUCCAAUCAAGGAAGAUAAUUUUUGAGGACUCUGAAACCUCCAAAUCCUGAAAGUUCAUGAACUUGAAACCAGGAACGGAGAAUUGGAAGCCCAAGACAUAUGAGGAUACCAAGUCACAUGAAAUGUGUUCAGAUUUUCAGACUGGGAGAAUUAUUUCCCAAUAUAUUGAAAAAAGAAAAUACGUUGGCACAGCGAUGGAACCAUUGUUAGUAACUUCGGAGAAACUAUGGAGAAUGGGGGCAAUAUUUCCAAAGUAUAAUGUUCCAUAUUUACUAUAUACCAGGUGCUGGGGAUGUAUUCAUGAAAUAAAAACAGAGAUAGCUAA